GCCUAAUACAUGCAAGUCGAACGAACUCUGGUAUUGAUUGGUGCUUGCAUCAUGAUUUACAUUUGAGUGAGUGGCGAACUGGUGAGUAACACGUGGGAAACCUGCCCAGAAGCGGGGGAUAACACCUGGAAACAGAUGCUAAUACCGCAUAACAACUUGGACCGCAUGGUCCGAGCUUGAAAGAUGGCUUCGGCUAUCACUUUUGGAUGGUCCCGCGGCGUAUUAGCUAGAUGGUGGGGUAACGGCUCACCAUGGCAAUGAUACGUAGCCGACCUGAGAGGGUAAUCGGCCACAUUGGGACUGAGACACGGCCCAAACUCCUACGGGAGGCAGCAGUAGGGAAUCUUCCACAAUGGACGAAAGUCUGAUGGAGCAACGCCGCGUGAGUGAAGAAGGGUUUCGGCUCGUAAAACUCUGUUGUUAAAGAAGAACAUAUCUGAGAGUAACUGUUCAGGUAUUGACGGUAUUUAACCAGAAAGCCACGGCUAACUACGUGCCAGCAGCCGCGGUAAUACGUAGGUGGCAAGCGUUGUCCGGAUUUAUUGGGCGUAAAGCGAGCGCAGGCGGUUUUUUAAGUCUGAUGUGAAAGCCUUCGGCUCAACCGAAGAAGUGCAUCGGAAACUGGGAAACUUGAGUGCAGAAGAGGACAGUGGAACUCCAUGUGUAGCGGUGAAAUGCGUAGAUAUAUGGAAGAACACCAGUGGCGAAGGCGGCUGUCUGGUCUGUAACUGACGCUGAGGCUCGAAAGUAUGGGUAGCAAACAGGAUUAGAUACCCUGGUAGUCCAUACCGUAAACGAUGAAUGCUAAGUGUUGGAGGGUUUCCGCCCUUCAGUGCUGCAGCUAACGCAUUAAGCAUUCCGCCUGGGGAGUACGGCCGCAAGGCUGAAACUCAAAGGAAUUGACGGGGGCCCGCACAAGCGGUGGAGCAUGUGGUUUAAUUCGAAGCUACGCGAAGAACCUUACCAGGUCUUGACAUACUAUGCAAAUCUAAGAGAUUAGACGUUCCCUUCGGGGACAUGGAUACAGGUGGUGCAUGGUUGUCGUCAGCUCGUGUCGUGAGAUGUUGGGUUAAGUCCCGCAACGAGCGCAACCCUUAUUAUCAGUUGCCAGCAUUAAGUUGGGCACUCUGGUGAGACUGCCGGUGACAAACCGGAGGAAGGUGGGGAUGACGUCAAAUCAUCAUGCCCCUUAUGACCUGGGCUACACACGUGCUACAAUGGAUGGUACAACGAGUUGCGAACUCGCGAGAGUAAGCUAAUCUCUUAAAGCCAUUCUCAGUUCGGAUUGUAGGCUGCAACUCGCCUACAUGAAGUCGGAAUCGCUAGUAAUCGCGGAUCAGCAUGCCG
rnacentral:rRNA from 1 species